rnacentral:siRNA from 1 species
ACUCGGGAAAAUCAGUUGCUCCA